UUCCUCAUUUAUUUCCCUUUUGAUUUUAUUUUUUACCCCCUCCAUUUUUAUUAUUUUGCAAAGUGUUGAACAUCAACCCCCCUUAUUUUUUCCUCUUGAAUUUAAUGGUGACCUUAUUUAUUUCAUUAGAGAAAUUAUUUAAGGACUUAUGAGGUCUUGAAGUGAAGGGCUAAUGGAAUCUAUCUUUUGUCAUGGUGUUGGCUUAGUAAGGGUUGAUUGAACCUUCCUUGUUUCAAACCUCCUAAUGGUUGAUCAAAUGUUCAUCCAUAAUACUUUGAAUCAUGGAUAGGUUAUCCCCACACUAACUAACUUGGUUCAUUUAACUUAUUGAUGAGGAUUAUUUGUACAUAUGUUAAUGAGUUCAUCUGAUACAUUUACACUUUGGUUGUUUAUGCUAACCCACUAACCCUUUACUUGUUUGUUUAUAUCAUACACUAACUUGUUACUAUUAUAUCUUGUUCAUAUGAUUUAUUAACACUAUCUUUUUCAUAUAACUUG
rnacentral:lncRNA from 1 species